ensembl:snoRNA
AUGCACGUUUAUCCUAGCACAAGACUCAUCCUCCUUACGUCCAUAAGGUGUUUGAUGGAGCAACGUGCAAAAUUAUGUUUGGAGAUAACAGGGCCACCAGUCUUUGAGGACAGACUGAAUGGUAGUAACAGUCUCUGACAUCA